UACGAAGGGGGCUAGCGUUGCUCGGAAUCACUGGGCGUAAAGCGCACGUAGGCGGCUUCUAAAUCAGGGUGAAUCCUGGAGCUCAACUCCAGAACUGCCUUUGAUACUGGAGAGCUCGAGUCCGGAAGAGGUGAGUGGAACUCCGAGUGUAGAGGUGAAAUUCGUAGAUAUUCGGAAGAACACAGUGGCGAAGGCGGCUCACUGGUCCGGUACUGACGCUGAUGUGCGAAAGCGUGGGAGCAACAGG
rnacentral:rRNA from 1 species